GUUUCAUACAAGUUGAAAAUAUCCACUCUCUUUGUAUGCCCAGGAUCAAUUGGGUCGCACAAUCUGUGAAUCAUGAAUUAUAAUAAACACGAACGUCAGAUGGAUUGAAAUGAUCCAGAUACUGCGUAAACCAUCGCUCCUGGGGAAGCGAGGUUUCAGAGGACACACCUGGCUCUCCUAAAUUGCCACCUUUCCUUCGACCUCUCAAGAAACGGAGGCAGCUCUGUAAGAAAAUACACUUCAGAAAAAUUUGUAUCACGACAUAGAGAAAUUAACAAACAUAUCAUGCAACUGCAAACAGAUGGAAUACUUUUUCUUUACAGCACUCUUUAUUUUUUUACUUUAACAAUGCUAAAAGGAAGGUUCAGGUUCAGGUUAAACACAGGCUUUUACACUAGUAAUGCGCGAUUCUGAUUCGAUUAUUUGAGAAUCGAUUCUUUUUCAUGA